rnacentral:rRNA from 1 species
AUAACGGUCCUAAGGUAGCGAAAUUCCUUGUCAGGUAAGUUCUGACCCGCACGAAUGGCGUAAUGAUUUGGGCACUGUCUCAACAGCCCGCCCGGCGAAAUUGUAGUACUGGUGAAGAUGCCAGUUACCCGCAACUAGACGGAAAGACCCCAUGGAGCUUUACUGCAGCUUAAUACUGAAAUUCGGUAGUACAUGUACAGGAUAGGUGGGAGACUGAGAAAUACAGGCGUCAGCUUGUAUGGAGUCGCUGUUGGGAUACCACUCUUGUACUGCUGGGUUUCUAACCUGCGGCCGUGAAUCCGGUCGGGGGACACUGUUAGGCGGGCAGUUUGACUGGGGCGGUCGCCUCCCAAAAGGUAACGGAGGCGCUCAAAGGUUCGUUCAGCACGGACGGAAAUCGUGCAAUGAGUGUAAACGCAUAAACGAGCCUAACUGCGACACCGACGGGUGGAGCAGUAACGAAAGUUGGAGUUAGUGAUCCGGUGGUAUGUGAGUGGAAAUGCCAUCGCUCAACGGAUAAAAGUUACCCUGGGGAUAACAGGCUGAUCUCCCCCAAGAGUCCACAUCGACGGGGAGGUUUGGCACCUCGAUGUCGGCUCAUCGCAUCCUGGGGCUGAAUUCGGUCCCAAGGGUUUGGCUGUUCGCCAAUUAAAGCGGCACGCGAGCUGGGUUCAGAACGUCGUGAGACAGUUCGGUCCCUAUCUGUUGCGGGCGUAAGAGAUUUGAAGGGAGCUGUCCUUAGUACGAGAGGACCGGGAUGGACGUACCUCUGGUGCACCAGUUGUCCUGCCAAGGGCAUAGCUGGGUAGCUAUGUACGGACGAGAUAAACGCUGAAAGCAUCUAAGCGUGAAACUCCCCCUAAGAUGAGAUCUCUCAUCCUUUAUGGAGUAAGGGCCCAGAAAGACGAUCUGGUUGAUAGGCCGGAGGUGGAAGUGCAGUAAUGUAUGCAGCUGACCGGUACUAAUAGUCCGAGGGCUUGACCAA